rnacentral:lncRNA from 1 species
CCGGGGUCGAUGUGAGUGGGCAAGGGGAUGCAACGGUGGAGAGAGGACAAUCAAGAUUUUAUGUCAUUUAUAAAAUUUAUUUUUCAUAUUUUUACGAGAAAAGUCAUGAUUUAAGUUUCACAUAUAAGUCACAUUAAAUUAACUUGAUAAUUUUAAAAAUCAUUACGUUAUCAGUACAUAUAACUUAAAUGUUUUCUAUCAAGAUUUUCAGGAUAAGGUUUGUCCUACAAGUUGAGCAAAUAUUUUAUUUAAUUAUUGCAUAAUAAUCUGACAAUACAUCAACAUUUAAUGUACAAUUUCCCCACAAGAGCCGUCGUCUACUAAUUUGUUGCCAAAAGGAUUUUGGAGAUCUUAUAAUGAUGUGUACAAAAUAUUUAGAGGAAUUUUUGAGAUUAGUGGUUAACAAAAAUUAAUCUUAGAAUAAAAGUUAGCUAAUUUGCAAUUUGGCAAGCCUGGCUAGAGGGUCGAAGUGCGCAAAUAUCCGAUUUUGAGAUUAUCAUUUCCAGGCGUACUACAUAAAAAAUUUGCAAAGUCUAUCCAUUUUUUAGAAUAAUUUCAAACAUGUAGGGUUUGAAGUUAGGCUUGAUGAAACUAAAAUUCAAACAAAAUGUUUUAAGUUUUAUACGGUUGAGGCUCAAACACAUAUGAUGUGAUUAUAUAAAUUACUUUUAAACUAACGAUAUAUAUAAUGAGCCCAAUAAUUGUGAAUUCUUUACCUUCUUCACCUGCCAAAAGCACAUCCCAUAAAUGCACCUCUCACACCUCCAAAUAAUGUUCUUUCCCUACCAUUUGUAAUACAUUCAAAUCUUACUAUAUAUAGAGACCAACUAUACAUAAGCUUCACCAUCCUAUAAUUUCAAGUAUCAUAGUAAGUUUAGUGGGUAAAAUGGGUUCUAAGACAUUUAUGUUCCUUGGCCUUUUUUUGGCCAUUUAUGUAAUGAUAAGCUCUGAGGUUGUAGCUAAAGAGUUGAGUGAGACUUCAGAAGAGAAGUGUAAGAAUCCUCUCAUUAUUUGUUCCUUUUGUGGUUGUGUUUGGUACCAAGGAAAAUGUUUUCGGUGAAAAAUAAUUUAUUAGAAAAUAUUUUCUUUGAAACAUAAACGUACUUAUUAUAAUAUUAUUUAAGGUACAUAUAUAUUUUACCCGUAAGAACGUAUGUUUUUAUAAUCAUAAAAAUGUCAUCACAUAUUCGAGAUCACAAAUUUUUAAAAUAGGUUAAUGGCAUAACAUUCUUGUUUACACAAUUGAUACAGCAAAGAAAUCCAAUAACAAGAAUGUAGUACAUGAAGACCAAUUUGGUGGCGGAUACCCCGGCGGUGGCGGUGGAUACCCUGGCGGUGGCGGUGGAUACCCCGGUGGUGGUGGUGGAUACCCUGGUGGUGGUGGUGGCGGCUACCCUGGUGGUGGCCGCGGUGGUGGUGGCUACCCUGGCGGCGGUCGUGGUAGAGGCGGAUAUCCCGGUGGCGGCCGCGGGGGAUACCCUGGUGGUGGUCGCGGACGUGGUGGAUACCCCGGCGNNNNNNNNNNNNNNNNNNNNNNNNNAUGAAGACCAAUUUGGUGGUGGAUACCCCGGCGGUGGACGUGGUGGCGGUGGAUACCCUGGCGGCGGACGUGGCGGUGGUGGUGGUGUAGGAUACUGUCGCAAUGGUUGUUGCAACGGCAAUAACUAUGAGUGCUAUAGUUGCUGUUAAUUAUGGGGAGCAAUAAAUAUUUGUAAUGGCAAAGAUGUAAUACUAGUGAUUAAAACUUUUGCUAAAUUAAUUUAAUUUCUACAACUUUUUGUAAGAAUUAUGAAAUUAAAAGUCAUCAUGUAUGUAACGUUUGUUAAUUAUGCUAUGCUGUGAGACAAUAUUUUCCCUAAUUUGGUGUUUCUUUCUCAAUUAUUUAAUCAGAUAUUAUGUCGUUCAAUUUGAA